rnacentral:rRNA from 1 species
ACACUUUACGUUGACAUCCCCACGAACCUGUCGAAAGGCAGGAGUGCCCGCAAGGGAGCGCGGAGACAGGUGGUGCAGGGCUGGUCGUCAGCUCGUUGUCGUGAGAUGUUGGGUUAAGUCCCGCAACGAGCGCAACCCUCACCCCUUGUUGCUACCAGGUAAAGCUGGGCCUCUAGGGGAAUGCCCCGGUCAACGGGGAGGAAGGCGGGGAUGACGUCAAGUCAUCAUGCACCUUACGUCCUGGGCUACACACGUGCUACAAUGGCCGGUACAAAGGGAUGCCACACCGUGAGGUAGAGCUAAACCCAAAAAGCCGGUCUAAGUUGCAGCUUGGAGUCUGCAACUCGACUCCAUGAAGGAGGAAUCGCUAGUAAUCGCGUAUCGCACGACGCCGGAGAAUACGUUCCCGGGCCUUGUACACACCGCCCGUCACACCACGAAAGCCAGCUGUACUCGAAGUCGCUGAACACUU